GCGCUCGUAGCUCAAUUGGAUAGAGCAUCUGACUACGGAUCAGAAGGUUGGGGGUUCGAUUCCCUCCGAGCGCG
rnacentral:tRNA from 2 species